rnacentral:tRNA from 1 species
GCUGGUGUGGCUCAAUGGUAGAGCAGCUGACUUGUAAUCAGCAGGUUGUAGGUUCGAUUCCUAUCACCAGCUCCA